UCCCUGAUGGUCCAGUGGUUAAGACUCUGUGCUCCCAGUGUAGGGGCCUGGGUUAGAUUCCUAAUUGGGGAA
rnacentral:tRNA from 1 species